UACGUAGGUGGCAAGCGUUGUCCGGAUUUACUGGGCGUAAAGAGCGCGCAGGCGGUCGUGCAAGUCGCGUGUGAAAGCCCCCGGCUCAACUGGGGAGGGUCACGCGAUACUGUUCGACUCGAAGGCAGGAGAGGGAAGCAGAAUUCCCGGUGUAGUGGUGAAAUGCGCAGAUAUCAGGAGGAACACCGAUGGCGAAGGCAGGUCUCUGGGCCAUAACUGACGCUGAGAAGCGAAAGCAUGGGGAGCGAACAGG
rnacentral:rRNA from 1 species